rnacentral:tRNA from 1 species
GGUCAAGUAGCUCAGUAGGUUAGAGCACUGUCCCCAGAAAGUGGCAGGGGUCUGGGUUCAAUUCCCAGCUUGGUCA